GACGAACGCUGGCGGCGUGCUUCAUACAUGCAAGUCGAACGAUAAGGCCCUUUCGGGGGCACAUAAGUGGCGGACGGGUGAGUAAUAUGUAGAGAAUCUGCCUUUAGGCGGGGGACAACAGAGGGAAACUUCUGCUAAUACCCCAUAUGAGCGUAACUGAGAUGUUAUUCUUGAAAGCUCCGGCGCCUAGAGAUGAGUCUGCAUCUGAUUAGCUAGUUGGCGGGGUAAUGGCCCACCAAGGCGACGAUCAGUAGCUGGUUUGAGAGGAUGAUCAGCCACAAUGGGACUGAGACACGGCCCAUACUCC
rnacentral:rRNA from 1 species